rnacentral:rRNA from 1 species
UACGAAGGGGGCUAGCGUUGUUCGGAAUUACUGGGCGUAAAGCGUAUGCAGGCGGACUUUUAAGUCGGGGGUGAAAUCCCGAGGCUCAACCUCGGAACUGCCUUCGAUACUGGAAGUCUUGAGUCCGGGAGAGGUGAGUGGAACUCCGAGUGUUAGAGGUGAAAUUCGUAGAUAUUCGGAAGAACACCAGUGGCGAAGGCGGCUCACUGGCCCGGUACUGACGCUGAGGUGCGAAAGCGUGGGGAGCAAACAGG